rnacentral:rRNA from 1 species
UCUGGUGUCCCAGGCGUGGAGGAACCACACCAACCCAUCCCGAACUUGGUGGUUAAACUUACUGCGGUGACGAUACUAUAGGGGAAGCCCUGCGGGAAAGUAGCUCGGUGCCAGCA